GGGGCCCCGCUCGCCACUCGCGGCGGCGGCGGCGGGAGGCGCCGGGACGGCACCGGCACCGGUACCGGCACCGCCGCGGGAGGCCGGUGACGAGGGGAUCUUUGAGGCCAACUCCGUUUGGAGCGGACGCAAAAUGAGCAGCAGCGGGGGGCUCGCAGGCUGAGCCGAGAGGAUCCGAAGAUGUCCGCGUGCGGCGAAUUUGUGGAACACGUCUGGAAGCCCGGCUCCUGCAAAAACUGCUUCAACCCAAAGAGCUCCCACGGGCUGCGGACGGCCCCCGGCGCGGGCGCUUGCGGCGCGCCGCCGAAUGGAGUCGGGGCCAAGCCUGAGAGCCCGGCGUUGGAAGACGAAGGUGUAAACACCUCCUCUUUCUCGAAGCCGACCAUCGCCGUGAAGCCGACUAUGAUCAGCUCGGAUGUUUCUGACCCGUGGGUGGAUAUGAACGCGAAUGCAGAGCUGUCGCAGGUCAGCUGGGUUUCUGGCAAACACCUCCUUCUGAAGCCGGGUGAUGCGCAGAGGAUCGGCCUCGACAGUUUUGGCAGCGGUGGCGCGCGGAAGCCCUUCGUGCACCACCCACCAAGUGACUGCUCGCCUUGCUGUCCUCCUAGCUGCUCCGUGGUGGGCCUGCGCAGCCUGGAAAGCCGAGCGGAGAGAAACGUCUCCGUCCACAGCCUGGUGUUUGUAGGGGAGGCGAGCGGGCAGGAGGACAGAGCGAAAGACAAGUUUGGCCUGCCGCCUCGGGGCUUCUGCCCUCAUCCAUCUGCCUCGGGGGAGAGAAGUGCUACAGACUCCGGCAGGAACCCUGCUUUCCAGGCAAGAGACGGAGCGGGGCUUCCCUCCGAGGGCAGUUACAGUCAACCCUCCCCUGGCUUCGAAAGCGAAGGGGGUGAGUACUGUUCGAUUGCGGACUGCUGCCGAGAGCACCCCAUCUCCCAGGAACCUCCGUGUGCGGAGGGCAAAGGCCCCCGGGGUGAGAAGGAGAGCCCAACCUCCUGGGGCUGGAGGCACCGGGAUGCUCCCGAGAUAGCCAGGCCGAGCGGCAGGGCAGUGAAGUUCAGCGAAGAGGAACGGAGAGCUGUGAACGUGGCCUUCUGCAUCUCAAAAGGCCAAGGCGACCCUCUCCCCUACGCCUUGUGUUCGGAGAGGAAAAAACUGGCCCUCCGCUCGGAGGCUGCUGUGCUACCUGAAAACGGACCCUUGGCUUUACCCAAGGAGAACGAGUACUCUCCUCUCUUUGGAGACCAGGAUCUCUCCGGUGGCCCCCGACCCGAGGGCUUGAGCGGUCCUCAGCAGGCAUUGGUGGAGCCGCAGUGCUCCCGUCUUGCCGAGCCAGCCCGCGGCGAUCCCAUCUACGCAGAGAGCACCAAGAGGAAGAAAGUCCAGCUGAAGAGCAUCAGCGGACACACAAAACCAGACAAGCUGGCCCGCAGCCCCGGCAAGGAGCAAGCUGAUGGCGCGUGGAGGGACGGCGGCCGGACUUUGAGUGCCGAGAAGGAGUACCAGGACUCCACCACCCAGGUGGCAGCGAAGAUAACUGUUAUGACCGCACACACAGAGGAUGAUCAUAAGACUAUCUUCCUCAGCAGCCCGGACUCAGCUGUGGGAGUGCAGUGGCCAUGUGUUAGUCCCACUUCACACUCUGACUUUGGGAUCUUGUCACCUGGCUUUGAGCCUGCAGAGAUCUUUCAAGCAUCUGUAAGUGAAGGCAGCCCACGAUUUCACCUGGCAGCUCCAGCCAAGACCUCAGUUGCUGAGAGUCCAGCCAUUCCCCCAAAGAUGUCUAAAAACAGCCAGCUGGGUAGUGAGGGGUCUCCUGUGCCCCCAGUCAGCUCCCCAGUGGCAAAACUUGGUGAUGACAAUAGUCAUGAUGGAACCAGUGCUCAGCUGCUGCCUAGGAGCUGUACGGAUACAGGUGCCUUCGGCUUGCCCUCCCCUCCGUGCGCUCAUGUUAGCGGGGUCCCUGCAGAGGAGGCCGGCAGAGGCACGGCGGGCUCAUCCUGUGACAGGAGGCAGAAAUACUACACCCCAGCGUGGAGCAAGCAGUGCCGGAUAGAGGAAGAGGAGGAGGAGGAGGAGCAGGGGCUUGCAACCCCCCCGCGGGCGGGGGGAGCGGAGAACGGAAGGGCUGGCGCCCACCUCGUGGUCGACUGCCCGAUGCCGGAGAGCCAAGCUGGGAUCAGCAAAUCGUCCUCUUUCUCCUUUGAUUUCCCUAAAGACAAGAGCAACGGUGUGGAAUUUGUGCCGCCGCCGCCACCACCACCAAAAAAGCAGUCCAGGCAUGCUCUGAAAAUGGACUCGGGUGGUGCUGAGCUGGAGAGGGUCAGCAACAGCUCUGCCGAGAGCCUCAGCCCGUCUUUCAGGAGCGUCCACGUCAGCUUCACGGCCGGCUCCACCGACAGCCUCGACUCGGACACGCGGACCGGCAGCGAUGGCGGGCACUCGUCAGAGCCGAACCACUCCCCGCCAGCAGCUGAGAGCCAAGUGUUUCCCCCCAUCCCUUUUGCCGCUCACUCCUGCGAGGACGGUCCCUCCUCUGCCUCCAGCCACCCACCCCCUCUGCCCCAGAAGAAGACAGUGAGCAGAGCCAUGUCCUCCCCAGAUGGCUUCUUCUGGGGACUGGCCUCUUCGGGCAGAGCGGGCAGCGCUGCCAGCCCCAGGCUGAACAUCAGCCACUCUGACAGCAACGUCUGCCUCCGUGAGGAUUCUCUCUUUGGCUACCCGGAGUGCCUGGGGGCUCCCCUUGGUGCCUUCUCCUCCUCAGAGUCCUUGGAGAAAGGCUCGAAAGGAAACAGCUCCUGGGGCUCAGCUGCUAGCAAAAGCACGGGGGCCUCCAUCCGCAGCAGAAACCAUCAGGCCCUUUCCUCCUCGCAGCUCAGCGUAUCCAGCCAGGUAUCUUCAGGCUCCAGCCUCCAGCUCCACAACCUCCUCAGCAACAUUGACAGCAAGGAAGGGGUGUAUGCCAAGCUGGGGGCUCUCUACGCCGAGUCCGUGCGCCGCCUGGUUGCCAAGUGCGAGGACUGCUUCAUGCGGGAGCAGAAAAACGAGCUGCACUUCAACGAGAACAACUGGUCACUCUUCAAGCUGACGUGCAACAAGCCCUGCUGUGAUUCGGGGGAUGCCAUAUAUUACUGUGCCACCUGCUCCAAGGACCCUUCCACCACCUAUGCUGUGAAGAUUUGUAAAACUCAAGAGUCGAAGGUGGCCGCUUCGUACUGCAGUCCCGCGGUGCCAGUCCACUUCAACAUCCAGCAGGACUGCGGACAUUUUGUGGCCUCUGUCCCCUCCAGCAUGCUGCUGGCCUCGGAUGGGGGGAAAAGUGUUCCCGUGGAUGGCCUCCGUCCCUCCCGCCCUGCUAGCGAGCACGACUGCGUGGUGGUCAUCACCCGGGAGGUGCCGAGCCAGACCACUGCUGACUUCGUGAGGGACUCGGUGGCGUUGCACCAAGCCAAGCCUGAGCUUUACGAACGCCGCGUUUGCUUCUUGCUCCUCCAGCUCUGCAAUGGCCUGGAGCAUCUCAAAGAACAUGGCAUCAUCCAUCGUGACCUGUGCCUGGAGAACCUCCUACUUGUCCCCUGUAAGCCCCCCAUGAGCUGUGUGAAAGCCAAAGAUGACAAACACUUACCCCGCCUCAUCAUCAGCAAUUUUUUGAAAGCCAAACAGAAGCCAGGAUCUGGAGACUCCAAACUGAGGAAGAGCCAGGCCCGGCUGGCCCCGGAGAUUGUGUCGGCUUCUCAGUACAAGAAAUUUGAUGAGUUUCAGACUGGCAUUCUCAUUUACGAGCUUCUGCACCAGCCUAACCCCUUUGAGGAGAAGGUGCACCUCAGGGAGCAGGAGUACAGCCCUGAGGACCUCCCUGCUCUGCCCAGCCUGUCCAUCUACUCCCGAGGGCUCCAGCACUUGGCUCACCUGCUGCUGGAAGCGGAUCCCAUAAAGCGCGUGCGGAUCAGCGAGGCCAAGCGGAUGCUGCAGUGUCUGCUCUGGGGACCCCGGAAGGACCUCACUGAGCAGCCCCUCAACCAUGAGGAAGCCCUCCGCCAGGCACUGCAGAACUGGGUUGACAUGAAGCGUGCCCUGCUGAUGAUGAAGUUCGCCGAGAGGGCCGUGGACACAGAGCGGAGCGUCGAACUGGAGGACUGGCUGUGCUGCCAGUAUUUAGCGUCCACCGAGCCCACCUCCCUCUUGCACACACUAAAACUGCUGCAGCUGCUUUGACCUCGGACGUGUCUUGGAGGUGGCCGAGGGCUCCCGGUUUCCUCGCGGCUAAAGAUCUACCGUGUUCCCUGGUGAGGUACACAGAAGAGAAAAAAAAAAAAAAAACAGGACUGCUCGUGAAACAGAGACCGGAGGUGGAAGCGAUGAUCCUAGGGGUAUUUGGUGCAGUGAGAAGGACCUUGGGGAUCCCUGUGGAAUAAUGGUGCAGCACGGCAAUGGAAGAGGAUCUCCUCCAAGACACUUAGCCCAGAAGUUUGAUUCUGGAAAAGGAAUCAGGCAAGUGGAAGGCUGUUUCACGGAGCAGAGUUGUUGAAAUCUCCACUGGGGCAGACAGUCUUGGCAUGGCAUUUGCAGUAUACAUCAUGUCUGCAGUAUGCAUUCUACUUGUAUUCUUGGCAACUUUUUUUUGGCUUUGGACUGUGACACAGCCCUUCUGAUCAGUUUUUUUGGUGUGAAAGCACCCUCUGAUUUUCAGUUUACAUUGAGGUGUGCUUUCUUUCCCCAGUUUUACAACAGGAAUCACAGUGUUGAUUUAUAAACGUAGAUUUGGAGAAUGAAGGCCUGGAAAACACAUGACCUUUAAACUCAACAACCAAAGUGAACUAAGAGAUGCUCUGCAUAGGAUUCAGAUCCUUUCAGUCUAAAAUGCCUCUGCCACACAUUUUGUGCAAGUAUUGCUGUUUCUGCCUACUACUACUGGGAGCAGAAAGAGCGCAAUCUGGGCAGUGGGAGAUGCUCAUCUCUUUUUUUCUUGUUGGAGUGCGUGGUUCCAAACAAUCUUCUGUUUACGUGUCGAUCAAAAUGGACUGAACGCGUUUACAUUGAUGUCUGCAGAAAGUAUCACCAAUAAAGUCCCUUCAUCCUCCUCUUCAA